ACCGGUCACUUGCUGCUGAGAAGUGUUCCGCUCGGCCGUCCCCCGCGCGUGCUCCAGGGUUGUGUGACCGCCGGACAGCAGCCCCGAGCCCUCCCGCACGUCCCAGCCACAGGUCCCUGUUUCUCAGUGGGGUUCAUCGGGAGUGGGCGGAGCUGUCAGGCCCAGCGGUUGGACGUUGCUCUUCCCACAGAGAUCCGUCAUUUCCCCAUCUUCUGACCCCUGGCCCCGCCUCCAGCCUCCCCCACUGCCUCAGCCAUGCACCUGGAGAGCGCCGGGUUGGGCACUGACACUGGACCUGUAAAAGCCACUCAGGGGAACUUGGUUUGGAAGCGUCUGUCACUCAGCGGUCAGCACUUGGACUUCCUGUCCGGGCUGGGCAGGGGCGCCGGCCCCCUGAGGAGUCAGUCGGUCCGGUUGCUCUCUCGCGGGGCCGCCUUUGCAGUGGACCCUGUUGGGACACAGAAGCCCUGAGGUCGGCGCCUCCCAGCACAGCUGCCACUUUCUGGAGAGCUCAACCCUCGGCAGCAGCGACGCCACAUGUUGGCAAACGUCCUGCCCGUGUACGGCGUCGGGCGGGCUGCAGUGGCCGUGCUGGCGAGCGAGGGGCGGUGCCGCGGUGCAGCUGAGCAGGCGUCCAGGCCCCUGGCUGGGCAGGAGUUCCGGUUCCAGCCGCUCUUGGAGGCAGCCUUGUGUUCGUCCUCUCCACGUUCCAGCUCAGCGGGAUCCCGCCGCACGCACCCUGUGCAUCCUGCACUUCGAUGUCCGACCCUCGUCCCCUGCCCUCCUAGCACUGAGACGCAGGGGACAGCGGGGAGGGGUGGCAGGGUG
rnacentral:lncRNA from 1 species